rnacentral:lncRNA from 13 species
GAAUUUUGGGAGCAUGGCAAAAAGGCAAGAUGGCCCCAAAGAGACUCUAAGUAGAAAUCCAGACGUCAAAGGCCCUGCCCACGGGGGUCAGAGGGAAGUGAGCAGCGUGGAGGAGGCUGUGUCAUCAUCAGGACGCCUGCGUCAUCCUGAGUCAGCUGUUGGUGGAGAUGCUACCGGUGACAUCUCAGAAGGAAAUGAGAAGUUAAUAAAAACUGGAGGAAAGAGGUUGAUCGUUACGCAGCAGCGGGAAGCUCAGGAAUCGUGUCCUACAGCUUUGUGGAAAGCAGGACCUGUGAGUGGUGAACUCGGAUCGGCAGCUGAGAGAUUUCCAAGCAGAGUUAAAGAGUCAUAAGCCAAGGAAGGCAGCGCCCAGAAACUGGAAAAGGUGAAAAACAGAUUCUCCCUGGAGACUUCUGAGGAAAUGCACCUUGCUGGCAUCCUCAUUUCAGCCCAUGAGACCCACUCCAUGCCUCUGACUCCCAGAACCGUAGGAUGAUAACUGUUGCUGGAGCCCGUUCUGUCUUGGUUACAUUACAAUGGGAAGCAAGUGCAGGGCUGUGGCAGCAGGUUGCUCGUGACCUCUGGUGCUGGUUGGGCAUACGGAUGCCCGGGUUGCCCCUGUUCUUCCGUACAACAGGUCUACUGAGUGCCAAGUUUUAAAUGUGAGAAGCAGUUCCUCUUAAUGAGCAGGUUUUUGACCAGCCAAAGUACUGGAAGGGAUUUUGAAUAGGUCAGAGGCAGCCAGGGGCAGUGAGUUUUAUACGGGCCGGAAGACAGAGGGCAGGAAGCCACUUCUAUCUCAGCCUAAGCCUGAGGGCUUCCAGGCUUUGAGAACUGGGCAGUGAAGAGGUGAAUGCCAGAGAGGACUGACGUGAGUGACUGAAGACAAAUUAAUCCAUGCAAGAAGCCAUGGGAAAUAACAGCAUCACUUCAGAGUCAUCUCCUUGCAAACUGAAUGGAGAAAAUGGAUUGCAACUAAGAUUCUGCAGUGGAACAAACCCGGACAUGGACCAGGUCCAAAGAUAGACUUGCCUGAAAUACUUGCCUAUAUAUACAAAAUUGUUCUUAGAAUGAGAGGGUGUCUUCUAAUUUUCUCAGCCUGACACACAAUCAAUAGAAAGCUAAAUGUUCCUGCUACAUUCUUGUUUGUGAAGGGGCAGAAUACCUCUGUGGGAUUACAUUACAGAAGGCAAGCAAGGAAAAUGAUGUAGGCACAAAUACUGUAGCUACGAUGUUUAAAAACCAUGUGGGGCUGAGAACUGGAGAUCCGAACGCGGCCAUCAGCAAACGAGGCCCUUACACAGAAGUGCA